AUUGAACGCUGGCGGCAUGCCUAACACAUGCAAGUCGAACGGAAACGAUGGGAGCUUGCUCCCAGGCGUCGAGUGGCGGACGGGUGAGUAAUACUUAGGAAUCUACCCAGUAGCGGGGGACAACUCGGGGAAACUCGAGCUAAUACCGCAUACGCCCUACGGGGGAAAGCAGGGGAUCUUCGGACCUUGCACUAUUGGAUGAGCCUAAGUCGGAUUAGCUUGUUGGUGAGGUAAAGGCUCACCAAGGCGACGAUCCGUAGCUGGUCUGAGAGGACGAUCAGCCACACUGGGACUGAGACACGGCCCAG
rnacentral:rRNA from 1 species